UACGUAGGGCGCAAGCGUUGUCCGGAAUUAUUGGGCGUAAAGAGCUCGUAGGCGGUCUGUUGCGUCCGCUGUGAAAACCCAGGGCUCAACCCUGGGCUGGCAGUGGAUACGGGCAGACUAGAGGUAGGUAGGGGAGAAUGGAAUUCCCGGUGUAGCGGUGAAAUGCGCAGAUAUCGGGAGGAACACCGGUGGCGAAGGCGGUUCUCUGGGCCUUACCUGACGCUGAGGAGCGAAAGCGUGGGGAGCGAACAGG
rnacentral:rRNA from 1 species